AACAAGGCGUACCUGCGGACCUGCGGAGGGAUCAUUACAGGACUCGCAAGACUCCUUAAACCCCUGUGAACUUACUGUUUAUACGUUGCUUCGGCGGGUGCUCCGGGGUCCGCCCCGGGGCGCUGCGCCCGCCGGCAGCCUACUUAAUUCUGUUUCUCUGCGUUGGCAUCUCGAGUAAGCAAAAUAAGUUAAAACUUUUAACAAUGGAUCU
rnacentral:misc_RNA from 1 species